rnacentral:tRNA from 1 species
UCCCUCUUUUGUAAAAUUACCUGUUGAUGUUGGGUGCUGAGUAGAGGGGU